rnacentral:rRNA from 1 species
UACGAAGGUGGCAAGCGUUGUUCGGAUUUACUGGGCGUACAGGGAGCGUAGGCGGUUGGAUAAGCCCUCCGUGAAAUCUCCAGGCUUAACCUGGAAAGUGCAGAGGGGACUGUUCAGCUAGAGGAUGGGAGAGGAGCGCGGAAUUCCCGGUGUAGCGGUGAAAAUGCGUAGAGAUCGGGAGGAAGGCCGGUGGCGAAGGCGGCGUCUGGGAACAUUUCUGACGCUGAGG